AUUGAACGCUGGCGGCAGGCCUAACACAUGCAAGUCGAACGGUAACAGGAAGAAGCUUGCUUCUUUGCUGACGAGUGGCGGACGGGUGAGUAAUGUCUGGGAAACUGCCUGAUGGAGGGGGAUAACUACUGGAAACGGUAGCUAAUACCGCAUAACGUCGCAAGACCAAAGAGGGGGACCUUCGGGCCUCUUGCCAUCGGAUGUGCCCAGAUGGGAUUAGCUAGUAGGUGGGGUAACGGCUCACCUAGGCGACGAUCCCUAGCUGGUCUGAGAGGAUGACCAGCCACACUGGAACUGAGACACGGUCCAGACUCCUAAGGGAGGCAGCAGUGGGGAAUAUUGCACAAUGGGCGCAAGCCUGAUGCAGCCAUGCCGCGUGUAUGAAGGAGGCCUUCGGGUUGUAAAGUACUUUCAGCGGGGAGGAAGGGAGUAAAGUUAAUACCUUUGCUCAUUGACGUUACCCGCAGAAGAAGCACCGGCUAACUCCGUG
rnacentral:rRNA from 1 species